rnacentral:rRNA from 1 species
UGGGGAAUAUUGGACAAUGGGGGAAACCCUGAUCCAGCAAUACCGCGUGUGUGAAGAAGGCCUUAGGGUUGUAAAGCACUUUAGUUGGGGAGGAAGAUGUGUAGUUUAAGAGAUAGCACAUUUGACUGUACCCAAAGAAUAAGCACCGGCUAACUCUGUGCCAGCAGCCGCGGUAAUACAGAGGGUGCGAGCGUUAAUCAGAAUUACUGGGCGUAAAGGGCGCGUAGGCGGUUAUAUAAGUUAGAUGUGAAAUCCCUGGGCUUAACCUAGGAACUGCAUCUAAGACUGUAUAACUAGAGUGCAGUAGAGGGUAGUGGAAUUUCCGGUGUAGCGGUGAAAUGCGUAGAUAUCGGAAGGAACACCAGUGGCGAAGGCGGCUACCUGGACUGACACUGACGCUGAGGCGCGAGAGCGUGGGGAGCAAACAGGAUUAGAUACCCCCGUAGUCC